UGAAAGUGAACAGUAAUCUUUAAUCUGACUGUAACUGCUGUAGAGUAUAAUGAUACUAACUGUAGUUUCUCCAGCUUGAAUUGUGUGUUCAUCAGUAGAUCACUGAGGUGUUUCACUCCAGAGUCUCCUAGUAGUUCAUUCAGACUCAGGUUCAGUUCUCUCAGGUGUGAUGGGUUUGAUUUCAGAGCUGAAGUCAGGAUGAGACAC